rnacentral:rRNA from 1 species
UACGUAGGAGGCAAGCGUUGUCCGGAGUUACUGGGCGUAAAGCGCACGCAGGCGGUCCCAUUAGUCUGUAGGGACAGGGCACGGCUCAACCGUGUCAGGCUUACGGAAACUGUGGGACUUGAAGGCUUCAGAGGGAUGGGGAAUUCCGGGUGGAGUGGUGAAAUGCGUAGAGAUCCGGAAGAACACCAAAGGCGAAGGCACCAUCCUGGGGAGUCACUGACGCUCGGGUGCGAAAGCUAGGGGAGCGAACGGG